rnacentral:rRNA from 1 species
CCUACGGGAGGCAGCAGUAGGGAAUCUUUCACAAUGGGCGAAAGCCUGAUGGAGCAACGCCGCGAGCAGGAUGAAGGCCUUCGGGUUGUAAACUGCUUUUAUAAGCGAGAAAUAUGAUGGUAACUUAUGAAUAAGGAUCGGCUAACUACGUGCCAGCAGCCGCGGUCAUACGUAGGAUCCGAGCAUUAUCCGGAGUGACUGGGUGUAAAGAGUUGCGUAGGUGGCAUAAUAAGUAGCUAGUGAAAUCUGGUGGCUCAACCAUUCAGACUAUUAGCUAAACUGUUAAGCUCGAGACCGUUAGGGGUAACUGGAAUUUCUAGUGUAGGAGUGAAAUCCGUAGAUAUUAGAAGGAACACCAAUAGCGUAGGCAGGUUGCUGGGACGGUUCUGACACUAAGGCACGAAAGCGUAGGGAGCAAACGGGAUUAGAUACCCGUGUAGUC